UACGAAGGGGGCUAGCGUUGCUCGGAAUCACUGGGCGUAAAGCGCACGUAGGCGGGUCCUUAAGUCAGGGGUGAAAUCCUGGAGCUCAACUCCAGAACUGCCUUUGAUACUGGAGAGCUUGAGUCCGGGAGAGGUGAGUGGAACUCCGAGUGUAGAGGUGAAAUUCGUUAGAUAUUCGGAAGAACACCAGUGGCGAAGGCGACUUACUGGACGAUUGUUGACGCUGAGGUGCGAAAGCGUGGGGAGCAAACAGG
rnacentral:rRNA from 1 species